GCUUGGCUGGCUCAGUCAGUAGAGCAUGUGACUCUUGAUCUCAGGGUCAUGAGUUCCAGCCCCAUGUUGGGUG
rnacentral:tRNA from 1 species